ensembl:misc_RNA Metazoa_SRP Metazoan signal recognition particle RNA
GCUGGGUGUGGUGGCGCACGCCUGUAGUCCCAGCUACUCGGGAGGCUGAGGCACGAGAAUUGCUUGAACCCAGGAGGCGGAGGUUGCAGUGAGCCGAGAUUGCACCACUGCACUCGAGCCUGGGUAACAGAGCAAGACUCUGUCUCAA